ACACCCAUAUUCCACCUCCGCUAUUCCUGCUUUCUGCAAAUGAAUACUGUCACUCAACAGGCACAUCUGGAGAAAGGGACCCCAGUUCACCGCACAGAAACCUCUUUGGCCUUUUCCACACAGCAGAUGGCUAGCCUCACCCAGCUGAUCACACCAAAGAACAUUCUCCCCCUCUGAGGCACAGAGUAUAUCUUCUCAUCGGUUAUC